rnacentral:rRNA from 1 species
UGAGGAAUCUUGCGCAAUGGGGGAAACCCUGACGCAGCAACGCCGCGUGAGUGAGGAAGGUCUUCGGAUCGUAAAGCUCUGUCGGGUGGAAAGAAAUGUAUGGGGUUAAUAGCCUUCAUACUUGACGGUACCACCAAAGGAAGCACCGGCUAACUCCGUG